AAUAGAUACCCUGGUAGUCCACGCCGUAAACGAUGAGUGCUAAGUGUUAGAGGGUUUCCGCCCUUUAGUGCUGCAGCUAACGCAUUAAGCACUCCGCCUGGGGAGUACGGUCGCAAGACUGAAACUCAAAGGAAUUGACGGGGGCCCGCACAAGCGGUGGAGCAUGUGGUUUAAUUCGAAGCAACGCGAAGAACCUUACCAGGUCUUGACAUCCUCUGACAACUCUAGAGAUAGAGCGUUCCCCUUCGGGGGACAGAGUGACAGGUGGUGCAUGGUUGUCGUCAGCUCGUGUCGUGAGAUGUUGGGUUAAGUCCCGCAACGAGCGCAACCCUUGAUCUUAGUUGCCAGCAUUUAAUUGGGCACUCUAAGGUGACUGCCGGUGACAAACCGGAGGAAGGUGGGGAUGACGUCAAAUCAUCAUGCCCCUUAUGACCUGGGCUACACACGUGCUACAAUGGAUGGUACAAAGGGCUGCAAGACCGCGAGGUCAAGCCAAUCCCAUAAAACCAUUCUCAGUUCGGAUUGU
rnacentral:rRNA from 1 species